GGGGAAACAAAACUAGCCCAUUCAUUGAACUUCUCAACAGAACCCAUAUCCACAGAUGGAACAGAACAUGAAAGAGUCUAGUUUAUUGGAACAACUAACACCAGAACUAAAUGGAAAGCUAUAAAACAAAGCUAGCCAGCUAAUGGUUUUUCAGUUUGGUGGUGGGAAGAAAAUUUCAUCAGAGGUUCUCUUGGAGCGGAAAUGAUUCUCAACUUCAGAAGGAACCUUGAAAGAUGCCUCAAUCACCUCAGGGGAUAAAGCCUUCCAGACAGAAGUCCUACCAGCCAAAUGGGUGAAUAUAGGGUUGGGAGUACUUAUGAUAGAGAACCAAUCCAUUCCAUCAGCAUCACAUAUCUUUGAAACAACAUAAAACCUCGGAACAAUGAAGAGAUUACCGGCCUUAACAGUAGUUUCCAAGGCCCUACGGCCAUCAAUACCAACAAUCUGAACACGGCCACUUCCCCUCACAAUGUAAGUAACCUGUAAAGCAGAGUCACAAGAAAAUCCAGGAGAGCACAUAGCACCCCCAUCCAACCUUACAAGAUCAGCACCAAGGCCAACCUCAGCAACCAAAGGAAGGUUCUUGGUAUUCAAGACCACAACCCUUCCACCAUUCUUAAUGUCAACAUCUAAUGGAGCUUCCUCACAGUUAUAUACCAGGCCACUGCGGUGCUCCUCCUUGGGUUCAGGCAUCUUAAAAGAUGCAGCAAGCUUGACAAUGCCUUUGCCUGACUGGUUUCCAACAAGGGUACUUACAGUUUUAUCAUCCACAUCCCAUGCUCGGCUCACAAAUUCAGAAGAGAAGCCAGUAAAAAUGCCAUUGGAACCAGUCAAAAAGAAAUCAGUAAAUUCACCAGCUUUGUGGCCUUUGGAGGUAUCACCCAAUAACAGAACAACCAACUCAGUAUCUUCUUUGUUAUACCACCAAGUAACAACACCAAAAGGAAGGGCUAUGGCAUCACCCUUCUUGAUUGCAACAACCUUCUCUUCUUUCUCAGGCAGGACAAUUCCAGCCACACCAUUUCCUUGCAAUAAUUAAAACAAAAUAAUUCAGUAUUACAGAACCUGGAGCAAUGAUCUGUGAACUAUAGUGAAUAAAAAUUAGAUAAUUCAAAUAUAAAACUUCAACAGAAGAAAUUCAUAAUAUCUUUGUAUUAGAUCAAUCAAUACCUUUAAGUCCAACAAGUUUCAUAUAACCAUCAUCAAUUCAUCCAUCCAUAAAACAGAAUUAAAGAGCCAUUACCUUUCUUAAUUUAUCCUUUUUCUGACAAUCUUUCGAAUAUAUGCCAACCGAUCAAAUUCACUUCCCCUCAUUCUAAAACAACUUACCUUGAAGAACAUAAGCAACCUUUGCAGAAUCAGAGUACCGAGGAAGAGCAAAGCCAUUCUUCUCAAGAGCAAGCUUGGCUGCACCUAUGUUCCCUUCACGUAGCAUUGCCAACUCAGAUGGGCACCAGGCAAAAUAUGACCCACCAUCACCUCCAUACUCCUUCUUGGCCAAUCUUGGUGAUAGAUCAAUCUCCAUCUUUACACUAAUAAACUAGGAAAGUGAAGAAACCCAAGAAACGAGUGAAUUCUUGUACUCUAGUUGACGAUAGCAACGAAAAGGACUCCCAUUUAUAGGGUUAAAUGGAUAAG
rnacentral:misc_RNA from 1 species